GCCAGGCAUGGUGGUGGGUGCCUGUAAUCCUAGCUACUCUGGAGGCUGAGGCAGAAGAAUUGCUUGAACCCGGGAGGUGGAGGUUGCAGUGAGCCAAAAUUGCGCCACUGCAUUCCAGCCUGGGUGAUAGAGCAAGACUCAGUCUCAA
ensembl:misc_RNA Metazoa_SRP Metazoan signal recognition particle RNA